rnacentral:rRNA from 1 species
AUGAAGGGGCGGUUGGGAGCUCUGAGAGGUUCUACGGCUGCUUGUGCAGAGAGCCCUACUACACCCAAGAAUCCCAUUGUGGAAUUGAUACACAGCGAUGAUGAUGUGUUUGACAAGAUUCCUGGCGUUGGAAGAGUCACGAGGAGCGCUGCUGCCAAAGGUUUAUCUCCCCUUGCUGGAAUAGUGGCUCGUAGAGCUGGUGGUGCUAGGAAAGAUCCUGCUUUGGAUUCUGGCAAUGUUGUAAGCACGAAGCGUGCGCCCAGAGCUCCUAUAAAAAUUUGCUCCCCUGUGCAGCAGCUUCACCCUCAUAAAUUCCCUCACCUGGACAAGGCUCGCGGGUUGUAUAAUCUGUUGCUUAGUGAUGAAUGGCGUGAGAAGUAUGCCGAGAAUAAAUUCUCAAUGAUACCUCAGCCUGAUGAAAGCAUAACUAACUUCACUGGGAAUCGCAUCUGGGAAGUUUUUUCACCUGGGCAAAUGAUGGAGUGUGAUGUUGUGCUUCAUUGUUCAUUUUACGAGGAUGAAAAUAAAGUGUUUAAUGUGGAGAGUGUAGCGAGAGAUUUCAAGAGCUAUGUUAAAGGUAAUGAAGACUUGCUCAGUGUCGACCUUAUCAUGAUGCCUCUAUUCAAGCCUAUGGUUUUAUCAAAGGAUAGGAAAGUGAACCACUAUUCCUUAUAUGUCAUGAAUUGGUACUGA